AUGUCUUCCAAGCCUGCCUCCCAAAGUAUGCCGGAGCAAGCGGCAAAGCCAAAGGAAAUGGGUGAAGAUGACAGGCAGCGAUCUGCUGCUGAGGAGGUUUCCGGGGAGCCGGACCAGCAGCAAGAAUCUCCAGCUCCUGUGCUGGACAAGGAUGCUCCAGAUCUCUCCUCAGACUCUGGGGGCCUGGAUGUGCCACUAGCCCCAGAGGCAGAAUCUGAUGAGUCAAAAGAGACUAAGAACUCCGAUUCCAACGAGAAUCAAGAAAAGAAGUCGUCGCAAAAGAGUAGUAUCAGUGAUAGCUUUAUUUCAGCUAAAGUGAGUGAUGGGACAAAUAGUCUGGGUAAGACCAGUGGUAGUGCUAAGACAAGUGGCCGAGAUUUCACCGAGAGUGGCAAGAGCAGCAUGUGCCGUGUUAGUGCAAGCAGUGAUUUGAGUGAUGAGAGCUCCUGCAGCAGUAUGAGCAGUGCCACCACAAAGCCCCACAAAGGGAAUGAUUCGAGGUGGGAGGCCAUCCAAGUGGUCAAAUCCAGGGAGGGCGUUCUUGGUCUGAACCAAUUUAGGUUGCUUAAGAAGCUGGGUUCUGGUGAUAUCGGAAGUGUGUAUCUCUCUGAAUUGAGUGGUACCAAGAGUCACUUUGCAAUGAAGGUGAUGGAUAAAACAUCUCUGGCUAGUCGGAAGAAGCUGCUCCGGGCACAGACCGAGCGGGAGAUACUGCAGUCCCUGGAUCAUCCAUUUCUGCCGACCCUAUAUACUCAUUUUGAGACGGACAAGUUUUCGUGUCUGGUUAUGGAGUUCUGCCCUGGAGGGGACUUGCACACUCUUCGACAAAGGCAGCCUGGAAAACAUUUUUCAGAGCAAGCAGCAAAGUUCUAUGUAGCAGAGGUGCUCCUUGCAUUGGAGUACCUGCAUAUGCUCGGGAUUAUAUACCGUGAUCUCAAGCCAGAAAAUGUCCUAGUUCGGGAGGAUGGGCACAUCAUGCUGACUGAUUUUGACCUCUCUCUUCGUUGUUCAGUGAGCCCAACCGUGAUCAGGGGUGCAAAUCCUGGCUUAGAUGCGCUGCAGAGGAACAAUGCAGCGUACUGCGUCCAACCUGCGUGCAUUCAGCCAUCCUGUGUUGUUCCAACCACAUGCUUUGGUCCUCGAUUCUUCUCGAAAUCCAAGUCCAAGUCAAAGUCUAAGAAGGAGAAGCCAAAGCCGGACAUCGUGAACCAGGUUAACCUAUUCCCUGAGAUGAUCGCCGAGCCAACUGAUGCUCGGUCUAUGUCCUUUGUGGGCACCCACGAGUACCUGGCCCCAGAGAUAGUGAAAGGGGAAGGCCAUGGCAGCGCGGUGGAUUGGUGGACCUUUGGCAUAUUCUUGUACGAACUACUGUUCGGCAAGACCCCUUUCAAGGGUUCAGGCAACCGAGCGACGCUUUUCAACGUCGUCGGUCAGCCCCUGCGGUUCCCAGAGUCCCCGCUAGUGAGCUUCUCGGCAAGGGACAUGAUAAGGGGACUACUGGUCAAGGACCCGCAGCACCGGCUGGGCCACAAGCGUGGGGCCACGGAGAUAAAGCAGCACCCCUUCUUCGAGGGCGUGAACUGGGCCCUUAUAAGAUGCGCGAGCCCUCCGGACAUACCCAAGCCCGUGGAGCUGGACUGCCGCCCGAAGCAGGCCCCGUCGGCGAACGGGAAGGUCGCGCCGGCCUCCAACCAGAAGGGCUCGGACAACUACCUAGAGUUUGAGUUCUUCUAG
rnacentral:rRNA from 1 species